rnacentral:rRNA from 1 species
GAUGAACGCUGGCGGCGUGCCUAAUACAUGCCAGUCGAACGAACAGAUAAGGAGCUUGCUCCUUUGACGUUAGCGGCGGACGGGUGAGUAACACGUGGAUAACCUACCUAUAAGACUGGGAUAACUUCGGGAAACCGGAGCUAAUACCGGAUAACAUAUUGAACCGCAUGGUUCAAUAGUGAAAGGCGGCUUUGCUGUCACUUAUAGAUGGAUCCGCGCCGUAUUAGCUAGUUGGUAAGGUAACGGCCUACCAAGGCAACGAUACGUAGCCGACCUGAGAGGGUGAUCGGCCACACUGGAACUGAGACACGGCCCAGACUCCUACGGGAGGCAGCAGUAGGGAAUCUUCCGCAAUGGGCGAAAGCCUGACGGAGCAACGCCGCGUGAGUGAUGAAGGUCUUCGGAUCGUAAAACUCUGUUAUCAGGGAAGAACAAAUGUGUAAGUAACUGUGCACAUCUUGACGGUACCUGAUCAGAAAGCCACGGCUAACUACGUG